rnacentral:rRNA from 1 species
UACGUAGGGGGCAAGCGUUGUCCGGAUUUAUUGGGCGUAAAGAGCGUGUAGGCGGUUUGGUAGGUCCGCUGUGAAAACUCGAGGCUCAACCUCGAGACGCCGGUGGAAACCAUCAGACUAGAGUCCGGAAGAGGAGAGUGGAAUUCCGUGGUGUAGCGGUGAAAUGCGCAGAUAUCGGGGAAGAACACCCGUGGCGAAGGCGGCUCUCUGGGACGGUACUGACGCUGAGACGCGAAAGCGUGGGGAGCGAACAGG